rnacentral:lncRNA from 1 species
AACUCAUAUAGAAAGGGGUAGAAAAGGUCUAAUGUUAUUGUCCCCCAGCACCAGAUGAUUUAAGCUAGAUCCAUUGCUUCACUGCUGGUUCCUCAUGGCAAGAACCUUGGCCAAAGCCGGCCAGGCCAUGAUGUCGGCCACCCAAGCGCUCACCUUGGGGCGGGCGUCGAACAGCUUCUUCACAGGUGUCCCCAUCAGGCUGGUCAGGGCCGGGAGGUGGUGGAGGUCGGCCAGGGUGAAGCAGUCGCAGCCUAGGUACUUGGACUGGCUCAGGCGGACCUCGUAGAUGUCGAGGACCUUGGCGAGCUUGGCCUCGUUCUCCUCGACUACUGCAGCAUCCGUGGCCAUGCCAAUUUUCGACUUGUACACGAGCUCCCGAUGCAGCUUCGACGCCGCCGGGUCAAACUGGUGGGCCUCGACUUCCAUCCACACGCUCACGGUUGCCAUGGGUUCGCCCUCGCAAACGAGGGGAGUGCCCUUGUCCUCGUAUACGUGAGCAAUGUAUUGAGUAAUUGCCCUCGAUUCUGCCACCACAAAGAGCAUAAUCAAGACAAACUAUAUUUCGCCUAGUUGUUUAUUGUUCUGUUGACUGAGUGAACAGUCAAAGAUUGACUAAACACUUGAUCUUUCAUCAUGAUUGCACGAUCUAUCGGCAAUCGAAUCAGCGCCCUUUGACUAAAUACUUUAAUCUUUAAUGAUGGUCACACAAUAUAAUACAUCAGUAAUAGAAAGACUUACCGAAUAGCUUCAAAUCUCCGUCCUCGAAGACCGGGACUUGACCGAAAGGCUGCACAGAGAGAUCGAGAAACGUUAGAUCCAAGAGACGACGGAGGAUUUCUUGAAAGACCACGUCGAGACCCCAGGACCAGAAAAUAGUUAGGAAUACUGUGGCACGGGCGGUGGGCGGGGACGGACACUUACGUUGAGGGCGAGGAAAUGCUCCUUCUUGUGCUCGCCGGCUCGCAAGUUGACGAAGACGAACUCGAACUCGAGGUCCUUCUCGUGGAGGGCAAUGAGGAGCCGCAUCGUCGGGGCGGAGAAGACGCUUCCGUGGACCUUCGUAGCCAUGUUCCUGUCCGUCGGCGAGAUUCUUAUCUCCCAUUCUUGGAAAGGAGAUACUAUUGUUGUAUUAUUCUUAUUUCCUUUUUCUGCUAAAUUCCACUAGAGGUGAGCAUUGGAUCGACCCUGGAUCGGCCCAACCCUAUUGGUCCUAAUCCGGUUCCUAGGGAGACUGGGUUAGUUUUUAGUCCUAGAAUUUCUAGACCAGUACUGUGCGGGUCAGUUCUCGAUCAGUCCAACCCGGAUCAACCCUGACUCUCUAUAUAUAUAUAUAAUAUUAUUUAUAAUUUUUUUAUAUAGAGAAAACCCUAAAAUAAAUAGUGUCAACAGCAUUAAAUGGCUAUUUAGUAAUGAGUUCAAGUAAUUUUACAUUAUUCUUUAAUAACUUGAAAAUCAUAAUUUAUGAAGGAGGAAAAUGUUUUUGUGAGAAGUCCUCACGGUGUCCAAAAAAGUAUAAACAGCUCCUUAUGGCAUCCCCUAUAGUAUUUGUUCUCUUCUGUCUUAUUUGUUAUCUUAAUCUUCAAUUUGUCAAAAUCGAAAUAAACAACUUCUCCACUCGCCACUCGACACUCACCUUGCUCGCUUUAGGUCAUUCGUGCCACUCGCCGCUUGAUUCUCACUUGGCUUGCUACUCCCCGCUCAACAUUCGAUGCUCAUUCUUUCGACGCUCACCCCACUUAACCCUUAAUGCUUGCCUUUCUUAACUGACCUUACUUAUCAUCGAACUCAUUGGGUUAGUACGGUCAUUGGUUGCCAUUUCAAAGAGUACAAAAAAUAAAAUAAAAAUUAUUAGUUGGUUCUAGGUUGACCUGGAAACCGGACUAAACCCAUUGAGUCAAUCCGGUCUUUAAUGGCUUUUUUAAGAAGUACAAAAAAUGAAAUAAAAAAUUAUCGGUUGGUCUCGGGUUGACCCUGGAAUCAGACCAAACCCAUUGGGUCGGUCCGGUCCUCGGUUCCAAGCUCAAUUAGGUCGGUCAUCGGUCCUAAAAAUUGAGGACUAGCACUGUGCAGGUUGGUCCUAGGGUUAGGGGGUGGAUCGGUCCAACCCGAACCAUGCUCACUCCGAAAUUCCACACCAUCUAUCAUGGCACUACUUUUUUCGUGGUCUGAAAGCUUCUCAGAAAAUGAAAUACAUCGGUGGCAGUUGGGAUUGGACCGCCUAAACUUGAAACUGUGUGGAUUCUACCAGCCGAUUUGGUCCAAUACUAAAGCAAUGAGAAAAAAAAAACAAUCAGUUCCAUUAGACCGGAUCAGAAUUGAACCGAAUCGGUGAUGUGGUCCGAUUUCCGAUUCUAAGACCAAUCGAUCCAAUCCUUAGUUCUUAUUUUUGGGAACAUGACUGUCUCUUGGUCCGAUUUCCAAUUUCACCUUGGAACUGGAUCGGAUUGAGAACCGAUCACCCUUACUUGAAAGGAGACAACAAAUCCCUAUGCAACAGGUAGGCAUAGCAAUAAGUUACUCAUGCGAAACGUGCCUCUACUCAGAAGGAUAAUUUUUUGAAAAGCAAAAAGGCAAUUCUCUCUUUAGAAAGACUUUGAGAAAACAUUAAUUAUGUUUCAAAAAUGAGAAAGAAUGGAAAGAUUUUUCGGGUGGGUCGAAAAUAUAGAAAACUUCUAAUUUUACUUAAGGCAUAAAAAGAGUGUAAAAUUUUUUCCCCUUUUUUUGGAAUUUUCUUCUCUCUUCCAUUGACCAUGAUUGCAAACAUAAGGAAAGGGCUAAAAGUUGAAUUUGAUUUCUUUUUUGUCGAAGAAAAUUUUAUUGAAAUUACGAACAUGGUCUAAAGAGCUCGGAGCAAGGCCAAUCUAAACAAAGGAGGGCCCAAAGGCUUUAAGGAGGAAAAGAAAGCCGGUUUUGUGGAAGUGAGCCAAUCCGUCAUGUCUUCGCAGCUCAGUCGGUUACCGCAUUAGAAGCCCGCGAACAAUGGACUAUGCAAAUGGAUGGAUGGGCCUUGAGUAGCUGUAAAAAAUUCACGAUAAGAAGUCGCUCCUCCCGGUUGAAAUUAUCUGUAAACCCGCUUAUCAAAGCUUCCACGAGAUCGGCAUGGUUGAGCUCAAUUGCAUGGUUUGCGGGACCAUCUUCACUCAAAACUACAAGCUGGAUUGCUUCAAGGACGGCUAGGGCUUCCACCUAAGAAGGUGAUGAUAUCUUCACCAAUUUGGGGAAAGCCGUAAUAAUAAUACAAGCACGAUCUCUGUAGAUACCAGCUAUGACGCCAUCCACCAAUCCAUUGACAAGGGAGCCAUCAACAUUGGAUUUUAGGAUUUUCUCCUCCAAUGAGAGCCUAGGUAUACAACUUAUAAAGGUGGGAUCUUUUAUUGUAUUUGAUGUAUGAAAGAUCCAUUUUAAGUAAUUUGGUCGCUAGAAAUAUGUUGAUUGCAUGGCAUGUCGUGCAUUCGGAAAUUUGCCCUGAAAUACAUUAUAAAAAGAAGACAUUAAUGAACUUCUAUGAAAUGGCUUCAUGGGAUUCAGGCAAUUGUCUUGAUCAUGGGAUAUCAUUGAGACAUAGGAAUCCGUAUUAUUAAAAGAUUUCCUACAAUUAUUUCUAGUAUGGAAUGAAUCAAUCAUCCACUUUGGUAUCUUAGGGUCCGUUUGUUUCGCGGAAAACAAUUUCCGGGAAAAUAUUUUCCAAAAUUACCGAUGUACCGAUGGCGGAAAAUAGGUAGUCAAAGAAAAUGUACCGAUGGAGAUCCUAAUAUUGUGAAAAAUGAUUUCUUCUUUUGAAAAGAGGAAAACAUUUUCCAUAACUUCUUCCACCUUGUUUCUUUUCACCAACACAUUUAUGCUUUCUUUUUCUUUCUUGUUUUUUUUAAUCGAGUUUUUAAUUUUUUUUCCUUUUCUUUUUUUCUUUUCUUCCUUGGUGGCCGUUUCAUCUUCUUCCUUGGUGGUCGGUUGCCAGCCACGGCGGCGGCCGGCAAUCGGCUGCAAGCCAGCUUGAGCCUUGCCCCAGGCUAGCAAGGCUUCGCCUAGCCCAAUCUGGCGAAGGGAGCUCGCCCAAUCCUUGCGAGCUUGGGCCUCGCCAAAUCGGGCGAGGCAGAGCCUUGCCGACUUAGGGUAGAGCUCGAACCUCGCCAGAUCCAGCGAGCUAGGUGAGGCUCGGGCCUCGCCCGAGCUCGCCAGAGGUUUGCCAGGCUCUAGUGAGCCGUGAGCUUGCCGAAUCUGGCAACGAAGCUUGGGCUCAUGAUCCAUAGGAACCCGAGCUCCACUGCCAGAUCGACAAGCUCGAGCGAGAUUGGCCGAGCCUCAAGUUCGUCGGAUCUGGCGACUAGGUGUUGGUCGGCCGCCAGGUAGCCGACCAUCAUCAGGCAUGCGGCAGUGGAGGAAGGUGGAGCCGGGAGGAAGAAAGAGGAGGAAGAAGGAAGGAAAAAAGAAAAAGAAAGAAAUAAUAAAAAUUUCGAUUUUUUAAAAAUAGAAAUAAUUAAAAUUUUAUUUUAAAAAAAUAUAAAAAAAUAAAACUAAUUUUUUAGUCAAUUAAAAAUAUUAAAAUUCAAUUUUUGAUAAUCUUUCCCAAACAAUUAAAUUAGCUAACGAAUGGUGGAAAAUAUUUUCCACUUGAAGUUUUGGUUUCGGCCAAACACCGGAAAAUAGUCAUUUUCCUGGAAAAUGACUUUUAGGAAAAUGUUUUCCGGAAACAUAUUUUCCAUGAAACGAACGGACUCUUAUUGAACAAAAAUGGUGAUAUUGUUCCUUGAUUGAUCAAUAAUUACGAUUUUUGGGAAGUAUCAUGAUCAUAAAAAAAUAAUGGCUUCCAUUUUUACAAAUGAACAAUUUGAAGACCUAUUGAUUCUAACAACUAAUUGCAGAGUUGAUCAUUCGGAUCUUUCAAUUCAUAGACAUGGAUCUCGAACCUAUGAAUGGGGGUAUUCACGAAACUCACAAAGAAAAAAAGGAAGUGAGUUAGACAAAAAAAAAAGAAGAGGAAACUUGGACAAAAUGAAACGAAGUGACUUAGACAAAUCUUUUUUGUUGAGAACCUUAGACCAAUCAAUCAAAUAUUGAUUAAUACUUAAUUGAUCAAAGACUACUUGAAAACGGCUCUUUAGCUUAGAAACAAAAUGUUCCAAAUGUUCUUGGAAAUUCUUGCUCCCAUUGGACCAUUUGUAUUUAUAUGUAUUAGGAUAUCGAUUCACAGAUCUCUCAGUUCAAGAAAUAAAAAUAAGAGGAUUGAACAAUUUCUUCUAACUAUUUUUCAAAUUCGAUAAAUGUAGGUUGAUCUUAUAUUUCAUUAUCGUUUUAUGAUUCAAAGUAUCAUUUCAUAUUUGAUCCCUUUGAAUUCCAUAUCCAAAAUUGCAAUCGGAUUCAUUCAUUAAAAAGAAUCAGUUCCAUACAUUUCUUAUGUACCCAUAGGUGCUAUAUUGGAUUUGAAUUAGAUUUCGGAUCCAUCUAUAUUGAUUAACUGUCUCAUUAUGUUGUUACUAGUAAAUACCAUUAUUUUUUGUUUUGGAUCUUUCAAAUCAUUUUCGCAUGAGAUCCGAACCCAUUUUUUCUAAUCUUUCAAUAAAAAGAUUCAUUUUCUUCAAAAAAGAGAGGAGGUAGAACCAAUAAAGAUUUCUUUUUCAAUUCAUCCCUGGAUUUGAAUACCUCAUUAAAGAAUUAUUUUUGAUCUAAUACGUAAGAAUCCAUAGAUAAGGCAAAUCCUUUAAGAUACAUCAAAUCUAGCUCACUUAUUGAUAGAGUAAAUAGAUCUGCCAUUAUUUGAAAUCUCUCUUCUGAUUCAAAAUCGUGGUGUAAUGUGUAUCAACCUUGUUUCGGUCAUGAAAUAGACGAAAUAAAUCAAAAAAAUGUAUUUUUGUUUAAGAAUGAAAUCUUAUGGAAACUGUGCAUAUCCAGUUCAUCCUUUAGAAUCAUAUCACAUCCCGGAUCUGAUGAAAUAUGAUGAAUUGAGACAAUACUUUGUAAAUACAUAAUUAUCUUAUAUAUAUUAACUAUAUCUUUAUUUUAUGAUCGUUUGGAAAGGACAAAAGAAACAUCUUGUUCUUUCUUCAACAAUUUUUUAUCUCUAGUGGGCCUCUUAGUAGGAUUCCAACCUAGAUGAAGUUUUGACCAUCUGUCAAAGAAAAAAGAAAGAAUGGAUCUUGUAGAAUUCCCAAGAAAUUCUUCGAUUUUUUUCGGAAGCAAAUGAUUCUUCAUCUCUUUCUCACAUUUCGUGAAUAGUUGGGAAUAUCUAGAAAGGCAUUUAGAGAAUCGGUCUGAUUCUAACUCUGUUCGUUUCGUUUGAAGAAAUGAAGGAUCCCAAAGAAUCAAUCUUUCUUUUAGUUGUUGAAUCUCUCUUUGAUUGAUCAAUGUAUGAUAUUCUGAAUCCUUAUUACUAAUGGAAUCGAAAUGAUCUCUGGAUUGAUCAAAAGAUCCUUUUAAUUGGCUAGAAUCCGUUAUUUGAACAAAACUAGAUCUUGUACAAUCAUAUUGAAUAUUUGACGAUACAUUUUGUAACUUGUUAAAAAAUCGGUCCUUGUUUACCAACCACACAUUGUCUAACCAAAUUCAAUUCUCUCUCAAUAUGUUCCUCAAAAAAUCUGAUUCGAGUAUUCUUCCCCUAGCUGACAAAGAGAUCUUGGCGGAAUUGCUACAUAUGAAAUUGAGCACAAUUUUCCAAAAAAAUAGCCCACUUCUUUCUCGAGAAGAGAUGGGAAAUAGGCUUAAUAUCAUUUGAUUGAAUAGUUGACCCAGCUCCUUGUUGUUUGAGGAAACCCUCCACUUCAAUUGGUAUUUUUUUCACGAAAAGCAAACAUGAGAAAACAAAUCUAGUCUUUAACUAAGAUUUCGAAUAGCUAUCACGAAUUCAAAUUAAUUAUGUUUCGUCUCUUACUUGGAGAAAGAUGAUCCAAAAUUCCCAAUCACAGUACUUGCAGAUCGGAUCAUCCAUAUAAUAUACAAAAAGAAACUCCAAAUAUUUAAUAUCUUUUCCUUUGAAUGAUAUCUCAAUUCCAACAAUGGUUUCAUUAGAUAUCUUACAACUAGAAUCAUCUUUUUUCCGCUCCAAUUCCUCCAACACUGCAAACCCAAGUUAAAUCCAGGCAUGAUACAUUUUUUUGUGAUUGGGAGAACUCAAUUACUCUCUUUCGGAUCUAGGAAAAAGCUCUCAGAGAUCUUUUUUUCCUUUUGGAAGAUAAAGGAGCCAAACGAUCAACCUAUUGAUAUUGGAAGAUCCAAAAGAUUCUUCCAAUGUAUCAUUUCUAGGUCUAAUGGAAUUCAUAGGUAUAGGAAAAAGCCCUAUUAAAUAGAGAUUUUUUCUUUCGGCCAUAUUUCAAUUAUUAAUACAGUAUAUAAGGACUACUACUACAAAUAGUACUACACCAUUGAUCGUGAAAUAUCAAGUGCUUGUUGAAUCCUGUGAAUUGCGUGAAAGUAGGAUACUCCAAAUUCGGGGGUCUAGGAGUUUUAUAAAAUGUUCUUGGUGAAAAAAAAUGUGGAUGAAAGAUCCUACGAAAUUGAAUUGGGUGCAUGAAUCUAAGAAAUAGUGAGAAUUAUGGAUCUCUCUCAAUUCGAAAAUCCAGGAUUUGAAUUGACAUCCUUUCAUUGAUUUCUCCUAAAUUGAAUUAAUUUCUCCUAAAGAUUUCAUUUCAAUUGGAAUUUGGUUACUCACCAUGUACGAGGAUCCCUGCUAAGCAUCCAUGGUUGAAUGGUUAAAGCACUCAACUCAUAAUUGGCGAAUUCGUAGGUUAAAUUCCUACUGGAUGCACGCCAAUGGGACACUACAAUAAAUCUAUUGGAAUUGACUCUAUGUCAAUGGAAUCUAAUCAUCCAUACAUAACGAAUUGAUGUGGUAUGUUAAUAUACCUUUAAUGUCAACUUUAAUGAAGAAUCAAGAUCAAGUAGGACAGAAAUAAAGCAUUGGGUCGAACUCUUCUGAAAUGGUAGAAGAAUAGGACCUAUUCUCAGUAGAAGAAUGGGACCUAUACAGGGACAUAUAAAGCAUUACAGACGUAUGAUCAUUACACUUCAACUGGGUUAUUCUAUUCCACCUCUUAAAAAGAAAAGAACUUAAAUCAAAAUGGUUAAUAUUAAUAGCAUAGCAAUAUAUUUAUACAAAACUUCUACCCCCAAGCACCCCAAGCACACGCAAUGGAGCCGUAAACAAUCAAGUGAAAUUCAAUACACAAAAUAAUUUGAUCUAUGGACAGCAUCAUUGUAAUAAAGGUCGUAAUGCCAGAGGAAUCAUUACCACAUGGCAUAGAGCGGGAUUUUCAGAUAGUCUAAUGAGUUGUAGUCGCCGUGGGUAAUUUUACAUUUGAUUUACAAUGCACUACUUAUAAGUAAAAUGAGAAAAAUGGUGCAUUGAAAACUGCAUAAUUUUCUUUAUAUUUUUUUAACAAGUUUUUUUUUUGUAUAUUUUUUUAACAAGUUCAUAAAAGCACUUUUAAACAAAGUCCAAUUUGGAUAGGAGAAUUUUCAUUUGGCCCCACCAUUUUGAUCAUUUGCUUGCAGCCAUGCAAAGAAAGUGACCAGAUUUGGCCCAUAAAUUAUAAACAAGUUGAUAAAGACUUAAGUGGAAAGGACAAAUAGUAACUUCAACUCAAAUAUUUCCCAGCCUGAGAGUUUCUUAGUAGAUCCACUGUUCCAUGUCGUGAGAUCAGCCUUUUGGAUGAGGAAUGAGUAGUGUGCAAAAAUCAAGAAUUCAUUGUGCAAUUGGCACGCGCCUACCCUACCAGAGCAGCCAUGGCCUGGAUCCGGAAGAAACUUGUGGUGGCCAUGAUGGUGAGCUCGACGGAGCUCAAGUGGCCAGCUCAAAGCAGGGACAGUGGGAGGGUGUCUUCUGGUUUCUUAUCAUUUUUAUCGUAUCCUUUUUUUCUUUCUCUAAACUUUUUAUUUUUUUCUUUCUCUAAACUUUUUAUUAUAAAAUCUUUUAAUUCUUUUCCAGACGGGGCGUUAGGUAGAGUCAGCUUUUUUUUUUUUUUUUAGGUAGAGUCAGCUUUUAGUCGGUCAAAUCAUUGAAUUAAUAAAAAUGUUCAUUAUACAAAUUUGAAUAGGAUUCAGUCGUACUAUUCAAAAGUUUUAGGUCAAUUACAUUUGCUUGAUGAAUUUUAGAAUUACUGAUGUAGGUAUCCAUGUGUAAAGGUAAUACUCAUCCAUGGAUAUAGUCCAGUGAACUUCUAUGGUACUUUAACAGAUGAAAGCGGGUGAAGCUUUCGUGACUAGUAGGGAAACUGUAGGCCAUCCUAUGGAGAUGAUGAGAGGAGAGCUUUGUAAUCAGUAAAGAUAAUACCAGCACUUGCAGCAAUCAUUACACUCUAAUGAAACUAGAAAGAUGAGACAUACAAGCCAAUGACUCAUGAAACAUAACUCUGCAUCUGUCCAAUCUUUUUAUUGCUCAUAAUAGAAAAUCACAGAACCGGAAGUUCAGUUCUGUGAAACACCAGCCUGGUCAUCAUCUCCAACUUUGAUGAUUGAAGACAACCCAUAAGAGAAAAUCCCACAUAAAACAUUGACCCAACAAGGACAGAAUCAACAACGAAAUACAGCUAACAACUCAUAUAAAAAGGGGUAGGAAAGGUCUAAUGUUACGGUCCCCCAGCACCAGAUAAUUUAAACUAGACCCCUUUGCAUCACUGCUGGUUCCUCAUGGCAAGAACCUUGGCCAAAGCCGGCCGGGCCAUGAUGUCGGCCACCCAAGCGCUCACCUUGGGGCGGGCGUCGAACAGCUUCUUCACAGGUGAAGCCAUCAGGUUGGUCAGGGCCGGGAGGUGGUGGAGGUCGGCCAGGGUGAAGCAGUCGCAGCCCAAGUACUUGGACUGGCUCAACCGGGCCUCGUAGAUGUCGAGGACCUUGGCGAGCUUGGCCUCGUUCUCCUCGACUACUGCGGCGUCCGUGGCCAUGCCGAACAUCGGCUUAAACAGGAGCUCCCACUGCAGCUUCGACCCCACCGGGUCAAACUGGUGGGCCUCGACCUCCAUCCACACGCCCAAGGUCGCCAUGGGUUUGCCCUCGCACACGAGGGGAGUGCCCUUGUCCUUGUAUACAUUAGCUAUGUAUUGAGUAAUUGCCCUUGAUUCUGCCACCACAAAGAACAAAAUCAAGAUGUAAACCAUGCUUCGCGUAGUUGUUUCUUGUUCAGUUGACGAAUUGAACAGUCAAAGAUUGACUAAACACUUGAUCCUUCAUCAUGGUCGCAUGAUCUAUCAGCAAUCGAAUCAGCACCCUUUGACUAAAUACUUUCAUCUUUCAUGAUGGUCACACAGUAUAAUACACCACGAACAGAAAGACUUACCGAAUAGCUUCAAAUCUCCGUCCUCAAAGGCCGGGACUUGACCGAAAGGCUGCACAGAGAGAUCCAGAAACGUUAGAUCUGAGCGAGACGAAAGAGGGUUUCUUGAAAGAGCACAUUCAGACCCCCCAAGACCGAAAAUCUGCGAGUAUAAAGGUCGAACUGGUGGUGGGCAGGUAAGGAGACUUACGUUGAGGGCGAGGAAGUGCUCCUUCUUGUGCUCGCCGGCCCGCAUGUCGACGGGGACGAACUCGAACUCGAGGCCCUUCUCGUUGAGGGCAAUGAGUACCCGCAUAGCCGCGGUGGAUAAGACGCUUCCGUGGACCUUCAUCACCAUGGUGGCUGGCUCUGCUUUCUUUUCUUUAUCUCUCUCUCUCGAAGGCUAAAUGCAGAACAGAUGUGGCGAAAGAGGGUGGGUUUUGGGCUCUUUUUAUAAGGGUUUCAGGAUCUCGUUCUGGAAUGAUCCAAUUGACUUUUAAAAUUCGAUUUUUCUUUCCCAUUCAACGAGAUAAUUUUGCUUUUUUUAUCUUUGUUGUUUAUACUUAGGAGAUGGAGAUGCAAAAAUGGCUCCUUGUCGGAUGAAGAGAGAGAGAGAGAGAGAGACGGACGCGACGAUUCCUGAGAAGCCAUUUUGAUAUUCAUCUCGCACUUUCUUCUCUUCAUUCGAUGUCUGAACAGAUCAAAAGAAAGGCGCAGACACCUACGUGCGCACGUCAUGCGGCGAGUAGCUCGUGCCAAAAGCGCCUAUCUACCGACCCAAAAAAAAGAAGCGCCUAUCUACCGACAAAAAAGAAAAAAAAAGCGCCUAUCUUGGGAAGGAAGAUACAUUUAGGGGAUAUUUGGUAGCUAUCUAAAUAGUAUCUGAUUCUGAUUUUUUCUUUCUGAAAGUAAUUUUGAAAUGGAAUCUCGUUUGGUAAAAUUUUUGUUCCAGAAAUAAAUUUAUAUUUUUCUUGUUCUCGAAAAUAGAUUUGAAAUAGAAUCAAGAAUAAAAAAAAAAAUUGACUCUUAUUCUAUAAACAAAUCUAAAAAUCAAAAUCAACUUUUCUUCUUCUUCUUUUUUCUUCUUCUUCAUCAACCGACAUCCCGCAAAUACUAUCCGCCGCCGUCCACCAUCGUUCGCUACCGGUCGCCGACAACCGGUCCGGCGAGCACCGAAGGCUCGCCAGGCCAAGACGAGGUCCAGCGAGCUCGCUGAGGCUUAGGCUUGGCCUUACCAGAUUUAGCGAGGUCGAGCCUUGCCCAACUACCGGCGAUGCUCGGCCAACGAGGGCCAACAAAACUUCAAUGAGGUCGCCAGCCACAAGAAGAAGAAGAAGAAGAAGAAGAAGAAGAGAAAAAAUGGGAAAAAAAGUAAAAAUGAAAAAAAAUAAUUGAUUUGGAACAGAAUCAAUAAGCAUGAUACCAAACGCAAUUCUAUUCCAAAAUCAGAAAUUUUAAAUAAUUAUUAAAUGGCUUAAAAUGUUUAGAAAUUGUUCCUAAGAAUAGAAUAAAAAAUAAUCAUUUCUGAUUAGAAUUUGUUCUCGAGAAUAAAAUCAUUACCAAACACACUCCUAAAGGGCGAGGAUGUAACUCCACUCUUCAGAAAAGACUUUGAGAAAACGUGAAUCAUGUUUCAAAAAAUGGAUUACUACAAAUGUAUCAUGCAGUCCCUAAAAUUUAAUUUUGUACAACGUGAUCCGUGAGUUUUUAUUAUAUAAUAUCAUUUCUAAAUUUUUAAUUUAUUUUAUAUAAUCUUUACAUUAUUGAUAAAUAUUUAGUAUAAUCUUUAAAUUAUAUGAAUUUGUUUAAAAAUUUAUUAUCUAAAUUCUAGAUUCGAACAUAUUGAGAAAGUUUGACCAUACGUUGGAUUUUUUAAUAGAAUAUUAGACACGUGUUGGAGUAUCUAAUAUGACUCAAAAACUCUGGAGAAUGUCGACGUUUCCCAUAGCAGAGUUAGCUUUUUUGAUUGGUCAAAUCAAACAAAUUAAUAAAAAAUUUUAUUAUACAUUUUAAAAUAUUAGGGGUCAAUUACACGACAAAAUUUAAAAUUUCCGAUGCAUAUAUCCCUUAGUGUAAAGGCAGUACUCAUCCAUGAAUAAAGUGCAGUGAACUAGGCGAAGCUUUAGGGAAGCCUUAGGCCAUCCCAUGGAGAUGAUGAGAGGAGGGGUUUUCAUCAGUAGAGAUAAUACCAGCACUUGCAGAAAUCAUUACAUUCUAAUGAAACUACAAAGAUGAGGCAUAUAAAACAAUGACCCAUGAAACAUAAUUUUGCAUCUGUCCAAUCUUUUUAUUGCUCAUAAUAGAAAAUCACAGAACUUGCAGUUCGGCGAAACGCCAGCCUGGUCAUCAUCUCCGACUUUGAUGAUUGAAGACGACCCUUCAGAGAAAAUCCCACAUAAAACAUUGACCAAAGGAGGAUAGAAUCGACAGCAAAAUACGAUUACCAACUCAUAUAGAAAGGGGUAGAAAAGGUCUAAUGUUAUCGUCCCCUAGCACCAGAUGAUUUAAGCUAGACCCAUUGCUUCACUGCUGGUUUCUCAUGGUAAGAACCUUGGCCAAAGCCGGCGGGGUCACGAUGUCAGCCACCCAAGCACUCACCUUCGGGCGGGCGUCCAAUAGCUUCUUCACAAGUGUCCCCAUCAGGCUGGUCAAGGCCGAGAGGUGGUGGAGGUCAGCCAGGGUGAAGCAGUCGCAGCUUAAAUACUUGGACUGGCUCAGCCGAGCCUCGUAGAUGUCGAGGACCUUGGCAAGGUUGGCCUCCUUAUCCUAGAUGGGCUAAGUCAAACGGGUUUUUCAUUUGAUGGGUCAAGUUAAGUCUGUUCGCCCACUCAGCCCAUAAAAGGAAAAUACAGUUAUUUUCUAAGUGAAAAUAACUGUAAUAUAUAAAAUAAAAAUUAAAUGUUCAGAGAGAAAACACGUUUCUCCAUUUUCUUCUCUUUGAAACAGUUCACUCUCUCUUGAAGAAGGAGAAUUCUGAGAUUGCAACAAUGUUUUUUUGAACAUGUUUCUGCGUUCGUUUUUUAUAUUCGAUCGUUUGAGUAUCAGUUCGAUUUUCAGAAAUCUAUUUGCCGCAUCCUUGACUACUGCAGCAUCCGUGGCCAUACCAAUUUUCGACUUGUACACGAGCUCCCAAUGCAGCUUCGACGCUGCCGGGUCAAACUGGUGGGCCUCGACUUCCAUCCACGAGAAAAUAUUGGCUUUGCCCUCGCAAACGAGGGAGCGCCCUUGUCCUCGUAUACGUGAGCAAUGUAUUGAGUAAUUGCCCUCGAUUCUGCCACCACGAAGAGCAUAAUCAAGACAUAAACUAUAUUUCGCGUAGUUGUUUCUUGUUCUGUUGACUGAGUGAACAGUCAAAGAUUGACUAAACACUUGAUCUUUCAUCAUGAUUGCACGAUCUAUCGGCAAUCGAAUCAGCGCCCUUUGACUAAAUACUUUCAUCUUUCAUGAUGGUCACACAAUAUAACACAUCAGUAAUAGAAAGACUUACCCAAUAGCUUCAAAUCUCCGUCCUCAAAGGCCGGGACUUGACCGAAAGGCUGCACAGAGAGAUCGAGAAACGUUAGAUCCAAGAGACGAAGGAGGUUUUCUUGAAAGACCACGUCGAGACCCCACGACCAGAAAAUAGUUAGGAAUACUGUGGCACGGGCGGUGGGCGGUGAUGGAGACUUAAGUUGAGGGCGAGGAAAUGCUCCUUCUUGUGCUCGCCGGCUCGCAAGUCGACGAAGACGAACUCGAACUCGAGGUCCUUCUCGUGGAGGGCAAUGAGGACCCGCAUCGUCGGGGCGGAGAAGACGCUUCCGUGGACCUUCAUCACCAUGAUUGCUCGCUCUGCUUUCUUUUCUUUAUCUCUCUCUCAGAACCUGAACGCAGAACAGCUGUGGCGAUCAAUGGUGGGUCUCGGGCUCUUUUUAUAAGGGCUUCAGGAUCUUGUUCUGGAAUGAUGUAAUUGACUUGAACAUUUCGAUUCUGGUAUGCCCUUCAACGAGAUAAUCUUGCCUUGUAUCUUUUAUUGUUUACAGUUAGCAGGUGGAGAUGACAGUAAUGGCUCCUUGUCGGGAUGUGGGGAGAGGGAGAGAGAGACGCAGGCGAUAAGUCCUCCGUAGCCAUGUUCCUGUCCGUCGGCGAGGUUCUUAUCUCCCAUUCUUGGAAAGGAGAUACUAUUGCUGUACCAUUAUUAUUUCCUAUUUCUGCUAAAUUCAACACCAUCUAUCACGGCCCUACUUUUUUCGUCGUCUGAAAGUUUCUCAGAAAAUGAAAUCCAUCGGUGGCAGUUGGGAUUGGACAGCCUGAACCUGAAACUGCGUGGACUCUACCGGCGGAUUUGGUCCAAUUUAUGAGAAUAUCAAUGUGGUUCCGAUUUUGAGGCAGAAUUGAAUUAGACCGACUAAUUAUUUUUUUAUUUAUUCAAAAAAUUAGUGAAAUAUGAACUAAAUACUAAAGCAAUGAGAAAAAAAAAAAACUAUCGAUUCCAUUAGAUCAUACCAGAAUUGGAUCGAAUCGAUGAUGUGGUCCGAUUUCCAAUUGUAGGACUAAUCGAUCCAAUCCUCAGUUCUAAUUUUUGGGAACAUGACCAUCUCCUAGUCAGAUUUCCGAUUUCACCUUGGAAUUGAAUCGGAUCAGAAACUAAUCACCCUUACUCAAAAGGAGACAACAAAUCUCUGUGUAGUAGGUAGCACAUCAAUAAGUCACUUGUGUGAAACGUGCCUCUACUCAGAAGGAGAAUUUUUUGAAAAUCAAAAAGGCAAUCCUCUCUUUAGAAAGACUUUGAGAAAACAUUAAUUAUGUUUAAGAAAUGAGAGAAAAUGGAAUGAAUUUUCAGGUGGGUUGAAAAUAAAGAAAACUUCUAAUUUUACUUAAGGCAUAAAAAGAGUGGAAAGUGUUUCUUGUUUUCCUUUUCUUUUUCUUUUUUUUGUAAUUUUCUUCUCUCUUCCAUUGACCAUGAUUGCAAACAUAAGGAAAGGACUAAAAGUUGAAUUUGUUCUUCUUUUUUUUAUCGAAGAAAAUUUUAUUGAAAUUACGAACAUGGUGUAAAGAGCUCCGAGCAAGGCGAAUCUGAACAAAGGAGGGCCCAAAGGGUUUGAGGAGGAAAAGAAAGCCGGUUUUGUGGAAGUGAGCCAAUCCAUCAUGUCGGUUACUGCAUUAGAAGCCCGCGAAAAAUGGGCUAUGCGAAUGGAUGGAUGGGCCUUGAGUAGCUUUAUAAAAUUCAUGAUAAGAAGUCACUCCUCCCGGUUGAAAUUAUUCGUAAACCCGCUUACCAAAGCUUCCACGAGAUCGGCAUGGUUGAGCUCAACUGCAUAGUUUGCGGAACUAUCUUCACUCAAAACUACAAGCUGGAUUGCUUCAAGGACGGCUAGGGCUUCCGCCUAAGAAGGUGAUGAGAUCUUCACCAAUUUGGGGAAACCCGUAAUAAUAAUACGAGCACGAUCUCUGUAGAUACCAGCUACGGUGCCAUCCACCAAUUCAUCGACAAAGGAGCCAUCAACAUUGGAUUUUAGGAUUUUCUACUCCAAUGGAACCCAAGUCUGCAACUUAUAAACGUGGGAUCUUUUCUUGUAUUUGAUGUAUGAAAGAUCCAUUUUAAGUAAUUUGGUCGCUAGAAAUAUGUUGAUUGCAUGGUAUGUCGUGCGUUCAGAAAUUUGCCCCGAAAUACAUUAUAAAAAGAAAAUAUCAAUGAACUUCUAUGAAAUUGUUUCACGGAUUCAGGCAAUUGUCUUGAUCGUGAAAUAUCAUUGAGAAAAAGGAAUUUGUAUUAUUAAAAGAUUUCCUGCAAUUAUUUCUAGUAUGGAAUGAAUCAAUCAUCCACUUUGGUAUCUUAUUGAACAAAAAUGGUGAUAUUGUUCCUUGAUUGAUCAAUAAUUUCGAUUUUUAGAAAGUAUCAUGAUCAUCCAAAAAUAAUGGCUUCCAUUUUUACAAAUAAACGAUUUGAAGACCUAUUGAUUCUAACAACUGAUUGCAGAGUUGAUCAUUCGGACCUUUCAAUUCAUAGACGUGGAUCUCGAACCUAUGAAUGGGGUUAUUCAUGAAACUCACAAAGAAAAAAGGAAGUGAGUUAGACAAAAGAAGAAGAAGAAGAAGAAAUUUGGACAAAAAAGAUUUCGAAUAGCUAUCAUGAAUUCAAAUUAAUUAUGUUUAGUUUCUUACUCGGAGAAAGACGAUCCAAAAUUCCCAAUCACGGUACUUGCAAAUCGGAUCAUCCAUAUAAUAUACAAAAAGAAACUCCAGAUAUUUGAUAUAUUUUCCUUUGAAUGAGAUCUCAAUUCCAACGAUGGUUUCAUUAGAUAUCUUACAACUAGAAUCCUCUUUUUUCCGAUCAAAUUCCUCCAGCACUGCAAACCCAAGUUAAAUCCAGGCAUGAUACACUUUUUCGUUAUUGGGAGAACUUAAGUACUCUCUUUCGGAUCCAAGAAAAAGCUCUCGAAGAUCUUAAGAUCUUUCCUUUUGGAAGAUAAAGGAGCGAAAUGAUCAACUUAUUGAUAUUGGAAGACCCAAGACCCAAACGAUUCUUCCAAUGUAUCAUUUCUAGGUCCAAUGGAAUUCAUAGGUAUAGGAAAAUGCCCUAUCAAAUAGAGAUUUUUUUUCUUUCGGCCAUAUUUCAAUUAUUAAUAUGAUAUAUAAGGACUACUACUACAAAUAGUACUACACCCUUGAUCGUGAAAUAUCAAUUGCUUGUUGAAUCUUGUGAAUUGCGUGAAAGUAGGAUACUCCAAAUUCGGGGGUCCAGGAGUUUUAUAAAAUGUUCUUGGUGGAAAAAAAUGUGGAUGAAAGAUCCCAUGAAAUUGAAUUGGGUCCAUGAAUCUAAGAAAUAGUGAGAAUUAUGGAUCUCUCAAUUCGAAAAUCCAGGAUUUGAAUUGAUGUCCUUUCAUUGAUUUCUCCUAAAUUGCAUUAAUUUCUCCUAAAGAUUUCAUUUCAAUUGGAAUUUGGUUAUUCACCGUGUAUGAGGAUCCCUGCUAAGCAUCCAUGGUUGAAUGGUUAAAGCGCCCAACUCAUAAUUGGCGAAUUCGUAGGUUCAAUUCCUAUUGGAUGCAUGCCAAUGGGACACUACAAUAAAUCUAUUGGAAUUGACUAUAUAUCAAUGGAAUCUGAUCAUCCAUACAUAACAAAUUGAUGUGGUAUAUUCAUAUCAUAACAUAAGAUAUUGGGGAAGAAAAUUGAUUUAUGGAAGAAAAAUUAUUAGGGAAAAAUCAAUAUACCUUUAAUGCCGAAUCAAGAUCAAGUAGGACAUAAAUAAAGCAUUGGGUCGAACUCUUCUGAAAGGAUAGAAGAAUAGGACCUAUUAUCGUUAGAAGAAUGGGACCUAUUCUUGGGCAUACAAAGCAUUACAGACGUAUGAUCAUUACACUUCAACUAGGUUAUUCUAUUCCCAUCUUAAAAAGAAACGAACUUAAAUCAAAAUGGUUAAUAUUAAUAGCAUAGCAAUAUAUUUAUACAAAACUUCUAUCUUGGGAUAGAAGUUUUGUAUAAAUAUAUCGCUAUGGAGCCGUAGACAUACACGAAAUAAUUUGAUCUAUGGACGGCAUCAUUGUAAUAAAGGUUGUAAUGCUAGAGGAAUCAUUACCGCAUGGCAUAGAGCAGGAUUUUCAAAUACUCCAAUGAGUUGUAGUUGCCAUGGGUAAUUUUAAAUUUGAUUUACAAUGCACUACUUAUAAGUAAAAUGAGAAAAACGGUGCAUUGAAAACUGCAUAAUUCUCUUUAUAUUUUUUUAACAAGUUCAUAAAAGCACUUUUAAACAAAGUCCAAUUUGGAUAGGAGAAUUUUCAUUUGGCCCCACCAUUUUGAUCAUUUGCUUGCAGCCAUGCAAAGAAAGUGACCAGAUUUGGCCCAUAAAUUAUAAACAAGUUAAUAAAGACUUAAGUGGAAAGGACAAAUAGUAACUUCAACCUCAAAUAUUUCCCAGCCUGAGAGUUUCUUAGUAGAUCCACUGUUCCAUGUCGUGAGAUCAGCCUUUUGGAUGAGGAAUGAGUAGUGUGCAAAAAUCAAGAAUUCAUUGUGCAAUUGGCACGCGCCCACCCUACCAGAGCAGCCAUGGCCAGGAUCCGGAAGAAACUUGUUGUGGCCAUGAUGGUGAGCUCGACGGAGCUCAAGUGGCCAGCUCAAAGCAGGGACAGUGGGAGGGUGGCUUCUGGUUUCUUAUCAAUUUUAUUAUAUCCUCUUUCUCUUUCUCUAAACUUUUUAUUAUAAAAUCUUUUAAUUCUUUUCCAGACGUGGCGUUAGGUAGAGUCAGCUUUUAGUUGGUCAAAUCAAAUGAAUUAAUAAAAAUGUUCCUUAUACAAAUUUGAAUAGGAUUCAGUUCGUACUAUUUAAAAGUUUUAGGUCAAUUACAUUUGCUUGAUGAAUUUUAGAAUUUCUGAUGUAGGUACCCCUUUGUGUAAAGGUAAUACUCAUCCAUGAAUAUAGUCCAGUGAACUUCUAUGGUACUUUAACAGUUGAAAGCGGGUGAAGCUUUCGUGACUAGUAGGGAAACCGUAGGCCAUCCUAUGGAGAUGAUGAGAGGAGAGGUUUUCAUCAGUAGAGAUAAUACCACUACCAGCACUUGCAGCAAUCAUUACACUCUAACGAAACUAGAAAGAUGAGACAUACAAGCCAAUGACUCAUGAAACAUAACUCUGCAUCUGUCCAAUCUUUUUAUUGCUCAAAAUAGAAAAUCACAGAACCAGAAGUCCAGUUCUGCGAAACACCAGCCUGGUCAUCAUCUCCAACUUUGAUGAUUGAAGACGACCCUUCAGAGAAAAUCCCACAUAAAACAUUGACCCAAGAAGGACAGAAUCAACAACCAAAUACAGCUAACAACUCAUAUAAAAAGGGGUAGAACAGGUCUAAUGUUACGGUCCCCGGCACCCGAUAAUUUAAACUAGACCCCUUUGCAUCACUGCUGGUUCCUCAUGGCAAGAACCUUGGCCAAAGCCGGCCGGGCCAUGAUGUCGGCCACCCAAGCGCUCACCUUGGGGCAGGCGUCGAACAGCUUCUUCACAGGUGAAGCCAUCAGGUUGGUCAGGGCCGGGAGGUGGUGGAGGUCGGCCAGGGUGAAGCAGUCGCAGCCCAAGUACUUGGACUGGCUCAGCCGGGCCUCGUAGAUGUCGAGGACCUUGGCGAGCUUGGCCUCGUUCUCCUCGACUACGGCGGCGUCCGUGGCCAUGCCGAACAUCGGCUUGAACACGAGCUCCCACUGCAGCUUCGACGCCACGGGGUCAAACUGGUGGGCCUCGACCUCCAUCCACACGCCCACGGUCGCCAUGGGUUUGCCCUCGCACACGAGGGGAGUGCCCUUGUCCUCGUAUACAUGAGCAAUGUAUUGAGUAAUUGCCCUGGAUUCUGCCACCACAAAGAACACAAUCAAGAUGUAAACUAUACUUCGCGUAGUUGUUUCUUGUUCAGUUGACGAAUUGAACACUCAAAGGUUGACUAAACACUUGAUCUUUCAUCAUGGUCGCACGAUCUAUCAACAAUCGAAUCAGCACCCUUUGACUAAAUACUUUCAUCUUUCAUGAUGGUCACACAAUAUAAUACACCACUAACAGAAAGACUUACCGAAUAGCUUCAAAUCUCCAUCCUCAAAGGCCGGGACUUGACCGAAAGGCUGCACAGAGAGAUCCAGAAACGUUAGAUCUGAGAGAGACGAAGGAGGGUUUCUUGAAAGAGCACAUUCAACCCGCCAAGACCGAAAAUCUGCGAGUAUAACGGUCGAACUGGUGGAGGGCAGGAACGGAGACUUACGUUGAGGGCGAGGAAGUGCUCCUUCUUGUGCUCGCCGGCCCGCAUGUCGACGGGGACGAACUCGAACUCGAGGCCCUUCUCGUUGAGGGCAAUAAGGACCCGCAUAGCCGCGGUGGAUAAGACGCUUCCGUGGACCUUCAUCACCAUGGUCGCUGGCUCUGCUUUCUUAUCUUUAUCUCCCUAUCUCGAAGCCUAAAUGUAGAACAGAUGCAGAACAGAUGUGCUUUAUUAUCUUUAUCUCCCUAUCUUGUUUUGGAAUGAUCUAAUUGACUUUUAAAAUUCGAUUUUUCUUUCCCAUUCAACGAGAUAAUUUUGCUUUUUUAUCUUUGUUGUUUAUACUUAGGAGAUGGAGAUGCAAAAAUGGCUCCUCCUUUUCUUUUCUCUCGCGUCCUUCCUUUCUUUUCCCUCUGCACCUUGUCAGAAAAAGGACAAAGUCCUUUGUUGACCUGUUGAAAAAAACGAGAGAGAACUCCCUUUUUUUUAAAUCUAACGUCCGCCCCCUCUUUCGUCCGUUUGCGAGCGGCUUUUAUGGGCGAGGUAUUAAGGCUUUCUAGAAUAUUUUAUUUCCUUUUUCACAUCGGAUUCACAUUUCCUUUCUCAACAUGCAUGAAGAUAUAUUGUCGAAAUAUGUACCCCACAUGCAAUAUUUCUUUUUAUUUUCCACAUCUCUUCUAGCCUUGUUUGAUUUCCUUUAUAUGCACUUCAUAUCUUUCCACAUUAAAUUAUGCAAAAAAAAAAGAAUAUUCUCCAUCGAUUUUUAUUAUAUAUUGCCAAAAAUUCAAGAUUAUAAUAGGAUUUUCUCAAAUUCUAAAUCUUGUCAAGAUGAGCUCGUAAUAUCUCCUUCUCACACUUGCCCUUUUUGAGAAUAUAUGAAUAGAUUACAUGAACAUACAAAAAAUCCUCUAUCAUAUCACUAAAAAUAUCGAAUCGUCAAUUCUUAUAAGUUAAUCUUUGGUCAUCAAAAAAUAAUGGGCUUGGGCCAAUUCCAUUUCAACGCAGGCUUAGUCCAACUUGCUAAAUUUAAGCUCAGAACCAUCAAAUUAAAUCCAUUCGUCACCAACCCAAUGCAAAUGUAAUAAAAAAAAAAAGUUCUCUUAAAACUACAUGUUAUGUAAUUUAAUUAUAAUUUUUUUUUGUUUAUGGGUUAAAAAUUAAUCUCUAAUUUUUAAAAGGGAAAACCUCAAAUAAGGAUUGAAAAUGGCUUCGUUUUCUCAAAAAAGAACCUAAAGUGAAGUUUGUCUCAAAUAAGGACCUAAAGUAGUCAUUUAGUCUCAAAAAAUGACCUAACUCGCCGGCCAAUGAACUAAUGCAUUUCUGAUGCGUAUUCCGGUGACCUAAUCAAGGUAUUUUCAUCCAAAAAAUAUUCUCUUUUCAUUUUCCUUUUCCCCUGUUCAUCUUCUCCAUCUGCGAGCAGACCUCCAAUAUCUCGCCAGUGAAGUAAUUGCCGACGAGAUCAAGCCACUUCAGCUUCUUGAGCCUUGCCACCUCCAGCGACAGCGGCCCCGUGAACUUGUCAUUGCCCAAGUGGAGUUCUUCAAGCUAGGUUAUCGCCUGUAAGACUUUGCUGGGGAAGAUCCCAAAGAGGUUGAGGAAUUGGAGGGAGGUGGGGCUGCCGAGCUUUGGCGGGAGGGUCCUGGUGAGGUUGUCGGUGGUGAGCGUGAGGUUGACGAGGUCACAAAGAAGGCCAAUUUUCGGGUGGGAUGUAGCUCGGGAGGCCGACGGAUGUGAUGUUGAGAGAGACGACCCACGAGCCAGCGUCGCAUGUGACUUCGGUGAAGGAGCAAUGCGGAAAGGGCGGUGGCAAGAAGGAGGAGGAGGAGUUGACCCAGUCGCUGAUGGCGGCGGAGGGAGGCUCGACCAUGGCGGUUUUGGGCUUCAAGAGCAUGUCCAGGUCGCUCUGUGCGAGGGAAGCAGAGAUGAAGAGGAGGAAGAAGAAGACUCCAUUGUAGGGCAGUUUCAUCCUCAGUGAGUUCGACGAGGCCAGCAAGGGCUCGCCGACCUCGCCGACCACUGGUAAGGGUAGGCGAGGGCUUGGCCCUCGCCUGCUGCCAACGCCUGCUACCGGCGAUAGGCGUUGAGCCCUCGCUGGCCUCAGGUGAGGCCAACCCACACCGGUCCCACGACCUUCGCUGGCCCUUCCCUACUUCCGAUGUCCUUGAUUUGGGCAAUGCCUAUCUUCGACGAAGAAGACGAUGAAUAGGGACAACCAUGGGUAGAUCAAGAAGAAGAUGAACAGGAUAAGGAAAACAAAAAGAUAAUAUUUUUUGGACAAAAAUACUCCAGACCAGGUCGUUGGAAUACGCAUUGAAAAUGCAUCAAUUCGCCGGCCGACAAGUCAGGUCCUUUUUUGAGACUAACUUAUGUGGCCAAGAGACCAUUAAAACUAUUUUUAUUACUCUUUUAUUUAUAGAAAAAAAUCUCCUUGUUAGUUUUUGUUGGAAAUAUGAUUUGUUUUUUUUAUUCUAAGUAUCUAAAUGCGGUUAAUUGAUUCUAUGAAUCCAUGAGAUUGGAUAUUAGGACAGUAGUAUAGGAAACAACAUAUUUUGUAUAUUCUUUCCUAUCGUACUCUUUUCUUGUAUUAUUAAUAGGUGUGUAAUACAUGUACAAACACAGCAAUACACAAUACAUAAAAUUCCUCCAAUUCAUUCUCAGUUUUUGUCAAUUUUCUUUCUCAUUUUCUAUCAGUUUCAUCUUCUACUUCAUGUGGGACUAAGGUUCCAAGAGACCCACAAGGCACUUCAAGCCUCCAAGAGUCCCACAUUGACUAAACAUUUAAAGAGCAGAGAUUGUCUAUAAAAUCUAAGCUAUGCAUAACUUUUAGCCAAAUUAUUCACGGCUUUCAUGGUUAAAGUUAAGUGUGAAACACACGAAGUGUGAAUCACAUUUGAAUAUUUUGCACGUGGAAACAUGUGUGAUUAGUUUUGUUGAAUUGCUCGAGAACCGAAUUGGAUUGAUCGGUCUGGAGCGCGGUCACUCUUUAGUGCAAAAAAGUAGAGCCGAUUUUGUUGGACCGGACCGGACCGGACCGGAACCAAUGGUCGGUCCGGUUCCCGGUCCUAGGACCAAACGGUCCGGUCCACGGUUUGCAAUUUUGGGAAUCGGUGCUCCCGGUCCGAUUCCCGGUUCCAAGGUGGAACCGGACCGAACCGGGAACCGAUCACCCCUAGCUGGCCCUUCCCUACUUCCGAUGUCCUUGAUUUGGGCAAUGCCUAUCUUCGACGAAGAAGACGAUGAAUAGGGACAACCAUGGGUAGAUCAAGAAGAAGAUGAACAGGAUAAGGAAAACAAAAAGAUAAUAUUUUUUGGACAAAAAUACCCCAGACCAGGUCGUUGGAAUACGCAUUGAAAAUGCAUCAAUUCGUCGGCCGACAAGUCAGAUCCUUUUUUGAGACUAAAUGACUGCUUUGGGGCCUUAUUUGAGAUAGAUUCCAUUUAAGGUCUUCUUUUGAGAAAAUGGGACCACUUUAGGUCUCUAUUUGAGAUUUUCCCUUUUUAAAAUGAUAAACAACUAAUCGUGGUUCUUUACCCAAAAAAAAAAAAAAAACAACUAAUCGUGGUUGUCAAAAUUUAUAUGUCAACACACCUCUUAGAAAUAAAAGAGCUUAAAUAAAAAUACUUAAUAUUAAUAGCAUGUUGAUACAUUUAUACAAAACUUCUACCCCGGGCACACGUAAUAAAGUCGUAGAUAGUCAAGUGAAAUCUAAUAUGCGAAAUAAUUUGAUUUAAGGACAGCAUCAUUGUAUUAAAGGUCGUAAUGCCAAAUGAAUCAUUACCGCGAGGCAUAGAGCAGGAUUUUCAAAUACUCCAAUGAGUUGUGGUCACCGUGGGUAAUUUUGAAUUUGAUUACAAUGCACUACUUAUAAGUAAAACGAGAAAAGUGGUGCACUGAAAACUGCAUAAUUUUCUUUAUUUUUUUUAACAAGUUCAUAAGAGCACUUUUAAAGAAAGUCCAAUUUGGAUAGGAGAAUUUUCAUUUGGCCCCACCAUUUUAGUCAUUUGCUUGCAGCCAUGCAAAGAAGUGACCAGAUUUGGCCCAUAAAUUAUAAGCAAGUUAAUAAAGACUUAAGCGGAAAGGACAGAGUAACUUCAACCUCAGAUAUUUCCCAGCCCGAGAGUUUCUUAGUAGAUGCACUGUUCCAUGUCGUGAGAUCAGCCUUCAGGACGAGGGACGAGUAGUGUGCAGAAAUCAAUAAUUGAUUGUGCAAUUGGCACGCGCCUACCCUGUAAGAGCAGCCGUGGCCAGGAUCCGGAAGAAACUUGUCGUGGCCAUGAUGGUGUGCUUGACGGAGCUCGAGUGGCCAGCUCAAAGCAGGGAUAGUGGGUGGGUGGAGUCCGUUUUCUUCUCAUUUUUAUUUAUCAUCCUUUUUUUUUUUUAGGGAAAAAGCCACCAAAAACCCUCCCAACUUUGCCUCGAGUGACAGAUUUACCCCGAACUUUGUUUUGUGACGUGAAAAACCCCGAAAUUUACUAACUGUGACACAUUUACCCCAAACUUUUAUUUGUGUGACAUAUUUACCCUAAAUCAUAAGGGAAUUUUGGUAUUUUUACUUUUAAAAACUUUUUUCUUUUUUUUUUUCUUUUUUUUCUUCUUCUUCUUCCUUCCUUCCGCCGGCCAUGGCGGAGCCGGCGUAGGAAGCCGAUUUUUGCGAGGGCCUCCCUACUAAAAUCAGGGGAGGUGCCCCUGGCGAGGGCACCCUCGCCCGACGCCGGCGUCGAGCGAGGGAGGCCCUCGUCCAAUCCAGUCGAGGGCUGCCCUCGCCGGACGCCAACUUCCCUCUGCCAGCCAGCCGGCGGAGGAAAGAGAGAAGAAGAAAAAAAGAAAAAAAAAAAGAAAAAGAAAAAGAAAAAAUAGAAAUAAUAAGACGAAAAUACCCUUAAUGGGGUAAAUGUAUCACAGUUAGCAAACUUCGGGAUUUUUCACGUCACAAAACAAGUUUGGGCUUUUUGGUGGUUUUUUCCCUUUUUUUUAUUCUCUAAAUUUUUAUUAUACAAUUUUUAAUUCUUUUCCAGAUGUGACGCUAGGCAGAGUCAACUUUUGCUUGGAUAGAAGUUUUGUAUAAAUGCAUAGCCAUGCUAUUAAGCCAUGCUAUUAAUAUUAAGUAUUUUGAUUUAAGUUUUUUUUCUUUCUAAGAGGUGGAAUAGAAUUUUAGUUGUCAAAUCAAAUGACUUAAUAAAGAAGUUCAUCAUAUAAAUUUAAUUAGGAUUCAAUUGUACUAUUUAAAAGUAAGUUUUAGGUGAAUUGCAUUUGCUUGAUGAAUUUUAGAAUUUCUGAGGUAGGUAUCCCUUUGUGUAAAGGCAAUGCUCAUCUAUGAAUAUAGUCCAGUGAAAGUCUAUGGUACUUUAACAGAUGAAAGCGGGUGAAGCUUUCAUGACUGGUAGGGAAACUGGAGGCCAUCCCAUCCUAUGGAGGUGAUGAGAGGAGAGGUUUUUAUCAGUAGAGAUAAUACCUGCACCCGCAGAAAUCAUUACACUCUAAUGAAACUAAAACGUCAAAACAUUUAAGCCAAUGACUCAUGAAACAUGACUCUGCAUCUGUCCAAUCUUUUUAUUGCUCAUAAUAGAAAAUCACAGAACUAAAAGUACAGUUCUGUGAAACACCAGACUGGUCAGCAUCUCCAACUUUGAUGAUUGAAGACGACCCUUCAGAGAAAAUCCCACAUAAAACAUCGACCAAAGGACAGAAACAACAACAAAAUACGAUUACCAACUCAUAUAGAAAGGGGUAGAAAAGGUCUAAUGUUAUGGUCCCCCAGCACCAGAUAAUUUUAAACUAGAGCCUGGGCUUCACUGCUGGUUCCUCAUGGCAAGAACCUUGGCCAAAGCCGGCCGGGUCAUGAUGUCGGCCACCCAAGCGCUCACCUUGGGGCGGGCGUCGAACAGCUUCUUCACAUGGGUCCCCAUCAGGUUGGUCAGGACUGGGAGGUGGUGGAGGUCGGCCAGGGUGAAGCAGUCGCAGCCCAAGUACUUGGACUGGCUCAACCGGGCCUCGUAGAUGUCGAGGACCUUGGCGAGCUUGGCCUCGUUCUCCUCGACUACUGCGGCGUCCGUGGCCAUGCCGAACAUCGGCUUAAACAGGAGCUCCCACUGCAGCUUCGACCCCACCGGGUCAAACUGGUGGGCCUCGACCUCCAUCCACACGCCCAAGGUCGCCAUGGGUUUGCCCUCGCACACGAGGGGAGUGCCCUUGUCCUUGUAUACAUUAGCUAUGUAUUGAGUAAUUGCCCUUGAUUCUGCCACCACAAAGAACAAAAUCAAGAUGUAAACCAUGCUUCGCGUAGUUGUUUCUUGUUCAGUUGACGAAUUGAACACUCAAAGAUUGACUAAACACUUGAUCCUUCAUCAUGGUCGCAUGAUCUAUCAGCAAUCGAAUCAGCACCCUUUUGACUAAAUACUUUCAUCUUUCAUGAUGGUCACACAGUAUAAUACACCACGAACAGAAAGACUUAC